GCCAGUGUGGUGUAGUGGUUUGAGUGCUGGACUAUGACUCUGGAGAUCAGGGUUCGGUUACCAGCUCAGCCA